GCAGUGAUGGUUCAGUGGUAGAAUUUUAGCUUCCUGUGUGGGAGACCUGGGUUCGAUUCCCAGGCAGCGCA
rnacentral:tRNA from 1 species